rnacentral:snRNA from 1 species
GUGAGGCAGUAUUGCUGAGAUCUGUUGUCCCGUUCAUCACCAGGGUUGGUUUGGCUGAUAUUGCUGAACAGGCUUGUGCCUAUUCUCUAUUUCUCCCUCAGCAUGCCAAGUAUGUCCUUCCUAAAGCUGCACAAAACGAUGUAAUAGAAUGACCAUCCAAAUAGAAGAGGACUGGGUUUUUUGGUUGAGGAUGUGUUGUAGUUGUACUUCCCUGCUAGAACCUCCAGACAAAAAUAAGGAUUUAAUGUAAAUAUUAAAUGUUUAUUUAAUAUU